rnacentral:rRNA from 1 species
GAUGAAUGCUGGCGGCGUGCCUAACACAUGCAAGUCGAGCGGCAGCGAGUUUUACACUGAAUUCUGGAAGCUUCUGGGUAAUAUAGAAGAUUUAUUCAAGAAUUUUGUGUAAAAUGUCGGCGAGCGGCGGACGGCUGAGUAACGCGUAGGAAUUUGCCCCAAAGUGAGGAAUAACUGCCCGAAAGGGUAGCUAAUGCCGCAUAUGGUCUUCGGAUUAAAGCCUUCGGGCGCUUUGGGAGAAGCCUGCGUUGGAUUAGGUAGUUGGUAGGGUAAUGGCCUACCAAGCCGACGAUCCAUAGCUGGUCUGAGAGGAUGAUCAGCCAGACUGGAGCUGAGACACGGUCCAGACUCCUACGGGAGGCAGCAGUGAGGAAUCUUCCACAAUGGGCGAAAGCCUGAUGGAGCAACGCCGCGUGAAGGAUGAAGGCCUUCGGGUUGUAAACUUCUUUUAUGAGUGAAGAAUAUGACGGUAACUCAUGAAUAAGCACCGGCUAACUACGUGCCAGCAGCCGCGGUCAUACGUAGGGUGCAAGCAUUAUCCGGAGUGACUGGGCGUAAAGAGUUGCGUAGGCGGUUUAAUAAGUGAAUAGUGAAACCUGGUGGCUCAACCAUACAGACUAUUAUUCAAACUGUUAAACUCGAGAAUGGUAGAGGUAACUGGAAUUUCUAGUGUAGGAGUGAAAUCCGUAGAUAUUAGAAGGAACACCGAUGGCGUAGGCAGGUUACUGGGCCAUUUCUGACGCUAAGGCACGAAAGCGUGGGGAGCGAACCGG